GAUAUUGCAGACAUGCUCUGAUUAGAUAUCUCAGUUCCACCUUGAGGUGAUGAAAUAUCUGGAUAUUUGCUAGAGUUUUGACUGAAGAAGGGAGCUCCUGUGUUAUUGAAGAAGAAAGGGAAACAUGUCAACGCACCAUGAAAGAAACGGGGUCUAUUCUGGGAAACUUCGGAAAAGGAAGCACAGAACCAGCAUUUUCCUCAUUGGAGCCCUGUAAAAUUGUGUCUGUCAAUGUCCUAAAGAGGUCGGACCCAGCUUGAGGUUUCACAUCCAUACAGGAGAAGAGACCAGAUGUAGCAUUUCAUCAUUCUGAUUCUGAGUUGCAAAUCUAAUUUACUCUUGCAGAAGAAGAUCUUCAUUUGAUUAAAUUUUGUUCUUGCUUGUCU